GAGUUUGAUUCUGGCUCAGGAUGAACGCNGGCGGCGUGCUUAACACAUGCAAGUCGAACGAUCCAGCACUCAACUACCAACUACAUUUUCAAGAAGAAACGAAAGUGUGGUUAGUAGUUGAGUGCUGGAGAGUGGCGGACGGGUGCGUAACGUGUGGGUAAUCUGCCUUUGUCAUGGGAAUAACUGCUUGAAGGAGCAGCUAAUACCGAAUAACAUAUGCAAUAGGCAUCUAUUGGAUAUCAAAGAGAAAUCGGACAAAGAUGAGCCCGCAUCUGAUUAGCUAGUUGGUAGGGUAACAGCCUACCAAGGCAACGAUCAGUAGCCGACCUGAGAGGGUGAACGGCCACAUUGGAACUGAGACACGGUCCAAACUCCUACGGGAGGCAGCAGUGGGGAAUAUUGCACAAUGGGGGGAACCCUGAUGCAGCAACGCCGCGUGAGUGAAGAAGGCUUUCGAGUCGUAAAACUCUGUUGUAAGGGAAGAUAAUGACAGUACCU
rnacentral:rRNA from 1 species